rnacentral:lncRNA from 1 species
ACGUCUUGUAGUCACAUAUUUAUUUGUUUGUUUUUACAAUAGGUUACAACUGGGGGAAUUCUAAGGAAUCCAGGUCUCCUUGUAAUGGUGUUAAACUGCAUUGUGAUCUCUGAACAAAGGAAAUCACUGAGGGAGAUGGUUUAGCAAGUUCUUUGCCAAUUUAAACUGCCUCUCCAGCUGGGGAGCUGUGCCGGAAUAACUGCUCUACAAACCCUUUGCUAUGUACAAUAGCCUUUGUCCUCUAAUGCAGUCCUYA